GCUUGUCUCAAAGAUUAAGCCAUGCAUGUCUAAGUAUAAGCACCCUUAUACUGCGAAACUGCGUACAGCUCAUUAUAUCAGCAAUUAUUUAUUUGAAGGUCACCUAUUACAUGGAUAACCGUGGUAAUUCUAGAGCUAAUACAUGCGAAAAGUCGGCGCAAGUCGAUGUAUUUAUUAGAUACAGAAUCAAUACGUGUUCUGCACGUUCUAUUGAUGAAUCAUAAUAACCAAGCGAAUCGUCGGUUUACCGACGAUAGAUCGUUCAAGUUUCUGACCUAUCAGCUUUGGUCGGUAGGGUAUUGGCCUACCGAGGCAAUGACGGGUAACGGAGAAUUAGGGUUCGAUUCCGGAGAGGGAGCCUGAGAAACGGCUACCACAUCUAAGGAAGGCAGCAGG
rnacentral:rRNA from 1 species